rnacentral:SRP_RNA from 1 species
GCUGGGCGUGGUGGCAUGUGCCUGGAAUCCCAGCUAUUCGGGAGGCUGAGGCUGGAGGAUAGCUUGAGUUCAGGAGUUCUGGGCUGUAGUGUGCUAUGCCGAUCCGGUGUCCGCACUAAGUUUGGCAUCAAUAUGGUGACCUCCCGGGAACAGGGGACCACCAGUUUGCUUAAGGAGGGGUGACCAGCCCAGCUCCGGAAACGGAGCAGGUCAAAACUCCCAUGCUGAUCAGCAGUGGGAUCGCACCUGUGAAUAGCCACUGAACUCCAGCCUGGGCAACAUAGUGAGACCCUGUCUCU